AACCAUAUUAAUACUAUAAAUAUCAUAUGCAUUAAUAUGGUUAAACAAUACAAAAGCAACAUAAAACAAUUUUCCCGAGAAAAGGGGUGAAUCUGCUUUGUGCCCUGUCUCCAGUCUCCUCCUGGUGCCCCCCCCUCCCUCCCCCCUCCCAGUGGUCUGUUCUAUAAUGCCUCAAUUCGGUAUUGGUAAACACCUGUUUGAACAUGGCCUCGAAACGGCAACAGGAGUCGGGAGCGGAGAAAAGAAAGAAGAAGAGGAAGCGUGAUGAAACUCAGGCGUCGCUUGCCGGGUCAAUGCUUAAAUAUGUUCAAGGAGGAUCUCAAGGACAGGAUGAACCAUCCAGUAGUAGUGCCAUCCCUGGACAUCAACCACCAGCCAUUGUAGACCCUGCAACAAUCCCUAGCCAAGAAGAACAAGAACCAUCAACCACCAGUUCAGGUA